CCUACGGGUGGCAGCAGUGAGGAAUAUUGGUCAAUGGCCGGAAGGCUGAACCAGCCAUGCCGCGUGAAGGUCAGUGCCCUAUGGGCGUUAAACUUCUUUUGUGCGGGAGCAAUAAUGGUCACGUGUGGCCAGACGAGAGUACCGUACGAAUAAGCAUCGGCUAACUGCGUGCCAGCAGCCGGGGUAAUACGGGGGAUGCAAUCGUUAUCCGGAUUUAUUGGGGUUAAAGGGGGCGUAGGUUGUGAGGUAAGUCAGCGGUGAAAUGCCCCCGGUCAACGGGGUGAAGUGCCAUUGAUACUGCCUUGCUGGAAUGCGGAUGCCGUGGGAGGAAGGUGUGGUGUAGCGGUGAAAUGCAUAGAUAUCACACAGAACACCGAUUGCGAAGGCAUCUCACGAAUCCGCGAUUGACGCUGAUGCACGAAAGCGUGGGUAUCAAACAGGAUUAGAUACCCUUGUAGUC
rnacentral:rRNA from 1 species